GACGAACGCUGGCGGCGCGCCUAACACAUGCAAGUCGAACGAGCGAGAGAGAGCUUGCUUUCUCAAGCGAGUGGCGAACGGGUGAGUAACGCGUGAGGAACCUGCCUCAAAGAGGGGGACAACAGUUGGAAACGGCUGCUAAUACCGCAUAAGCGCACAGUACCGCAUGGUAUUGUGUGAAAAACUCCGGUGGUAUGAGAUGGACCCGCGUCUGAUUAGGUAGUUGGUGGGGUAACGGCCUACCAAGCCGACGAUCAGUAGCCGACCUGAGAGGGUGACCGGCCACAUUGGGACCGAGACACGGCCCAA
rnacentral:rRNA from 1 species